GUAGGUGGCAAGCGUUGUCCGGAAUUAUUGGGCGUAAAGCGCGCGCAGGUGGUUCUUUAAGUCUGAUGUGAAAGCCCCCGGCUCAACCGGGGAGGGUCAUUGGAAACUGGGGAACUUGAGUGCAGGAGAGGAAAGUGGAAUUCCACGUGUAGCGAUGAAAUGCGUAGAUAUGUGGAGGAACACCAGUGGCGAAGGCGACUUUCUGGCCUGUAACUGACACUGAGGCGCGAAAGCGUGGGGAGCAAACAGGAUUAGAUACCCUGGUAGUCCACGCCGUAAACGAUGAGUGCUAAGUGUUGGGGGGUUUCCGCCCCUCAGUGCUGCAGCUAACGCAUUAAGCACUCCGCCUGGGGAGUACGGUCGCAAGACUG
rnacentral:rRNA from 1 species